CGCUGCCUCUCUGCAUUUCUCUUCCUGGUUGGUGUGAUAAGAGCAGCUUUCCUCUGCCCUGGAUCUUCCAUCACACCACUGACCAUGCAAGCUUCUAAUAUGUGAGCCAAAAUAAACUUCUGGUCCUUUAAGUUGCAGAUGUUCAGUAAUUUGUGCCAGUCACUAAGAGAGUGAUUAACACAGCUGUAUAGACCUGUCACGGUACAUUAACAAAGCAAAAAAGCCCUUGGAAGAUACUGCCACCUGGAUGUUGGACUGCACAGCUUCCCUAACAGAUUGUGUGUGAUUAUCUCCCAACAGCAAGAAGUUAUGGAGGAGAUCUCAUCUCCAGAGGAGGAGGAGAAAAAGCCAGAGGAAUCCUUCACUUCAACCUGCGGCAUUGCUAAGGAAUACAAUCUCUGUAAAUAAGAGAUUUCUCUGCUUUACACCAAUGACUACCUGAUGAGGAAACCGGGAGAAGAACUAUUAAGAAUUCUUCAAUAAAUAAUGCAACUCAUGAUUAAGGGUGGCUGAAAGAAAG
ensembl:lncRNA